rnacentral:rRNA from 1 species
AUGCGACGCAGCCUUGCUCUCUGUUACCACCUCACCGCCGCCCUCCUCCUCCUCGCGUUCCUCCACGCGCCGCUCGCCGGCGCGCAGCCGCUCCCGUGGCAGCUCUGCGACUCCGCCGCCGGGAACUACACGGAGGGCAGCGCCUACCAGGCCAACAUACGCGCCCUCGCCGGCGGCCUCCCCAGGAACGCCUCCGCGUCCCCGGCGCUCUUCGCCAAGGGCGCCGCCGGCGCCGCGCCGGACGCCGUCUACGCGCUCGCGCUCUGCCGCGGCGACACCAACGCCUCCUCCUGCGCGGCCUGCGUCGCCGCCGCCUUCCGGAACGCGCAGCAGCUCUGCGCCUUCAACCGGCACGCCACCAUGUUCGACGACCCCUGCAUCCUCCGCUACUCCGGCCAGGACUUCCUGGCCAACGUCACCGACAACAGCGGCAGGUUCGUCGCGUUCAACGGCAACAACGUCAGCGCGGGCGCGGCCGCGGCGGCGUUCGACGCCGCCUCCGGCCGGCUCGUCAACGCCACCGCCGACUAUGCCGCCGGGGACCCGACCCGGCGGUUCGGCACGGGGGAGGAGGGGUACGACGCGACGUACCCCAAGAUUUACUCGCUGGCGCAGUGCACGCCGGACAUGGAGGCGGCCGACUGCCGGAGCUGCCUCAGGGACAUAAUCGAGAAGUUUACCCCACAGUACUUCGUCGGGAAGCCGGGUGGGAGAGUGUUCGGCGUGCGAUGCAACUUCCGGUUCGAGACCUACUCCUUCUUCUCCGGACGCCCACUGCUGCAACUCCCGGACGUGCUGCCGCCUGCACCAGCGCCAGCGCCAGCGGCGGCCGAAGAAGAACGAACAAGAAAUAGGACAGGGUUGAUCUUGGCCAUCACACUACCUAUAGUUGCUGCACUACUUCUCAUUUCAACGUGCGUUUGCUUUUGGAGGAGGAGAAAAUCGGCAGAAAGAAAGCCGUCAGUACCACUACCAUAUUCAGCUACUAAUCCAGAUGACAUCCAAAGCAUCGAUUCCCUCCUCCUCGACCUAUCGACGCUGCGGGCUGCAACAGAUAACUUCGCUGAGAGCAACAAGCUUGGCGAAGGAGGGUUCGGUGCGGUUUACAAGGGUGUCCUUUCUGAAGGUGAAGAGAUAGCCGUGAAGAGGCUGUCACAGAGCUCCACGCAAGGGAUAGAAGAGCUGAAAACAGAGCUGGUUCUGGUCGCUAAGCUUCAGCACAAGAACCUUGUCAGGCUCCUUGGCGUUUGCCUGGAAGGACAGGAGAAGCUGCUCGUGUACGAGUACAUGCCGAACCGGAGCCUCGACACCGUUCUAUUCGAUGCAGAGAAAAGCAGGGGCCUGGACUGGGGGAAGAGGCUCAAGAUCGUGAACGGGGUUGCCCGGGGCCUGCAGUACCUCCACGAGGACUCCCAGCUGAGGAUCGUCCACCGGGACCUCAAGGCCAGCAAUGUGCUCCUGGACUCGGACUGCAACCCCAAGAUCUCGGACUUCGGCCUGGCAAAGCUGUUCGGCUGGGAUCAGUCGCAGGCCGUCACCAGCCACAUCGCCGGAACAUACGGAUACAUGGCGCCGGAGUACGCGAUGCGCGGGCAGUAUUCCGUCAAGUCGGACGCCUUCAGCUUCGGCGUUCUGCUACUGGAGAUCGUCACGGGGAGGAAGAACAGCAGCUUCGCUAGCCCGGACUCGGAGCCAUCCCUUGACCUCUUAAGCCUCGUAUGGGAGCACUGGACUACCGGGACAGUCGAGGAGCUGGUGGAUCCGUCCCUGGGAGGCCGUUCGCCGGGAGGCCAGAUGCUGAAGCUGGUCAACAUCGGGUUGCUGUGCGUCCAGGACAGCCCCGCGGACCGGCCCACGAUGUCGGCGGUGAACGUCAUGCUCAGCAGCAGCACGGUGUCUCUGCAGGCGCCGUCGAGGCCGACGUUCUGCGUCGACGACAUGGAGGGUUUCUCGGGCAUGUACUCGGGUGCGUAUCCAAGGGGAUCCCAGUCCACCGGGGACAGCAAGCCCCAGGCAGCGAUGUCGCCGUCGCCGAACGAGGUGUCACUCACGGAGAUCGAACCAAGAUGA